CCUACGGGAGGCAGCAGUGAGGAAUAUUGGUCAAUGGCCGGAAGGCUGAACCAGCCAUGCCGCGUGAAGGUCAGUGCCCUAUGGGCGUUAAACUUCUUUUGUGCGGGAGCAAUAAUGGUCACGUGUGGCCAGACGAGAGUACCGUACGAAUAAGCAUCGGCUAACUCCGUGCCAGCAGCCGCGGUAAUACGGGGGAUGCAAGCGUUAUCCGGAUUUAUUGGGUUUAAAGGGGGCGUAGGCUGUGAGGUAAGUCAGCGGGGAAAUGCCCCCGCUCAACGGGGUGAAGUGCCAUUGAUACUGCCUUGCUGGAGUGCGGAUGCGGUGGGAGGAAUGUGUGGUGUAGCGGUGAAAUGCAUAGAUAUCACACAGAACACCGAUUGCGAAGGCAUCUCACGAAUCCGCGAUUGACGCUGAUGCACGAAAGCGUGGGUAUCAAACAGGAUUAGAUACCCUAGUAGUC
rnacentral:rRNA from 1 species